UUCAUGGAUGAGCCCGCGGCCUAUCAGCUUGUUGGGGGGGGAACGGCCCACCAAGGCGACGACGGGUAGCCGGCCUGAGAGGGCGACCGGCCACACUGGGAGUGAGACACGGCCCAGACUCCUACGGGAGGCAGCAGUGGGGAAUAUUGAACAAUGGGGGAAACCCUGAUGCAGCGACGCCGCGUGCGGGAUGAAGGCCGUCGGGUUGUAAACUUCCCCCAGCACGGACGAAUUCAACCAAUUCUUUCUCGGCGGCGCCGAGCCUACCCUUUAGGU
rnacentral:rRNA from 1 species